GACGAACGCUGGCGGCGUGCCUAAUACAUGCAAGUCGAGCGAAUCACUAGGAGCUUGCUCCUGGUGGUUAGCGGCGGACGGGUGAGUAACACGUGGGCAACCUGCCUGUAAGACUGGGAUAACACCGGGAAACCGGUGCUAAUACCGGAUAAUCCUUUUCCUCUCAUGAGGAAAAGCUGAAAGUCGGUUUCGGCUGACACUUAUAGAUGGGCCCGCGGCGCAUGACCUAGUUGGUGAGGUAACGGCUCACCAAGGCGACGAUGCGUAGCCGACCUGAGAGGGUGAUCGGCCACACUGGGACUGAGACACUGCCCAGACUCCUACGGGAGGCAGCAGUAGGGAAUCUUCCACAAUGGACGAAAGUCUGAUGGAGCAACGCCGCGUGAGCGAUGAAGGCCUUCGGGUCGUAAAGCUCUGUUGUUAGGGAAGAACAAGUACCGGAGUAACUGCCGGUACCUUGACGGUACCUAACCAGAAAGCCACGGCUAACUACGUGCCAGCCGCCGCGGUAAGAC
rnacentral:rRNA from 1 species